ACAUACCAGUCCGUCUUCUCGUUCUUUACGCAGUCGAGGGACCUGAUCGGCCGUUGCACCAAAAAGAAA
rnacentral:sRNA from 1 species